CAGCCGCCGCGGUAAUGCGUAGGUGGCAAGCGUUGUCCGGAAUUAUUGGGCGUAAAGGGCUCGCAGGCGGUUUCUUAAGUCUGAUGUGAAAGCCCCCGGCUCAACCGGGGAGGGUCAUUAGAAACUGGGAAACUUGAGUGCAGAAGAGGAGAGUGGAAUUCCACGUGUAGCGGUGAAAUGCGUAGAGAUGUGGAGGAACACCAGUGGCGAAGGCGACUCUCUGGUCUGUAACUGACGCUGAGGAGCGAAAGCGUGGGGAGCGAACAGGAUUAGAUACCCCGGUAGUCCCUGUCUCUUAUAC
rnacentral:rRNA from 1 species